UUUAACUGAAGAGUUUGAUCAUGGCUCAGAUUGAACGCUGGCGGCAGGCUUAACACAUGCAAGUCGAGCGGGGGAAGGUAGCUUGCUACUGGACCUAGCGGCGGACGGGUGAGUAAUGCUUAGGAAUCUGCCUAUUAGUGGGGGACAACAUCUCGAAAGGGAUGCUAAUACCGCAUACGUCCUACGGGAGAAAGCAGGGGAUCUUCGGACCUUGCGCUAAUAGAUGAGCCUAAGUCGGAUUAGCUAGUUGGUGGGGUAAAGGCCUACCAAGGCGACGAUCUGUAGCGGGUCUGAGAGGAUGAUCCGCCACACUGGGACUGAGACACGGCCCAGACUCCUACGGGAGGCAGCAGUGGGGAAUAUUGGACAAUGGGGGGAACCCUGAUCCAGCCAUGCCGCGUGUGUGAAGAAGGCCUUAUGGUUGUAAAGCACUUUAAGCGAGGAGGAGGCUACUUUAGUUAAUACCUAGAGAUAGUGGACGUUACUCGCAGAAUAAGCACCGGCUAACUCUGUGCCAGCAGCCGCGGUAAUACAGAGGGUGCGAGCGUUAAUCGGAUUUACUGGGCGUAAAGCGUGCGUAGGCGGCUUAUUAAGUCGGAUGUGAAAUCCCCGAGCUUAACUUGGGAAUUGCAUUCGAUACUGGUGAGCUAGAGUAUGGGAGAGGAUGGUAGAAUUCCAGGUGUAGCGGUGAAAUGCGUAGAGAUCUGGAGGAAUACCGAUGGCGAAGGCAGCCAUCUGGCCUAAUACUGACGCUGAGGUACGAAAGCAUGGGGAGCAAACAGGAUUAGA
rnacentral:rRNA from 1 species